GACGAACGCUGGCGGCGUGCUUAACCCAUGCAAGUCGAACGGAAAGGCCCUGCUUUUGUGGGGUGCUCGAGUGGCGAACGGGUGAGUAACAAGUGAGUAACAUGCCCUUGACUUUGGGAUAACUUUAGGAAACUGGGGCUAAUACCGGAUAGGAGCUCCUGCUGCCUGGUGGGGGUUGGUAAGUUUCGGCGGUUGGGGAUGGACUCGCGGCUUAUCAGCUUGUUGGUGGGGUAGUGGCUUACCAAGGCUUUGACGGGUAGCCGGCCUGAGAGGGUGACCGGCCACAUUGGGACUGAGAUACGGCCCAGACUCCUACGGGGGGCAGCAGUGGGGAAUAUUGCACAGUGGGCGGAAGCCUGAUGCAGCAACGCCGCGUGCGGGAUGACGGCCUUCGGGUUGUAAACCGCUUUCGCCUGUGACGAAGCGUGAGUGACGGUAAUGGGUAAAGAAGCACCGGCUAACUACGUG
rnacentral:rRNA from 1 species